rnacentral:rRNA from 1 species
GACGAGCUCUCCAAACGUUAUUCGGUAUCACUGGGCUUAAAGAGUUCGUAGGCGGUCUGGUAGGUGAGGUGUGAAAUCCCCCGGCUCAACCGGGGAACUGCGCUUCAAACCGCCGGACUUGAGAGAGACAGAGGUAGGCGGAACAGAUGGUGGAGCGGUGAAAUGCGUUGAUAUCAUCUGGAACACCGGUGGCGAAAGCGGCCCACUGGGUCUCAUCUGACGCUGAGGAACGAAAGCUAGGGUAGCGAACGGG